rnacentral:rRNA from 1 species
UAAAGAAAGCGUAAUAGCUCACUGGUCGAGUCGGCCUGCGCGGAAGAUGUAACGGGGCUAAACCAUGCACCGAAGCUGCGGCAGCGACACUAUGUGUUGUUGGGUAGGGGAGCGUUCUGUAAGCCUGCGAAGGUGUGCUGUGAGGCAUGCUGGAGGUAUCAGAAGUGCGAAUGCUGACAUAAGUAACGAUAAAGCGGGUGAAAAGCCCGCUCGCCGGAAGACCAAGGGUUCCUGUCCAACGUUAAUCGGGGCAGGGUGAGUCGACCCCUAAGGCGAGGCCGAAAGGCGUAGUCGAUGGGAAACAGGUUAAUAUUCCUGUACUUGGUGUUACUGCGAAGGGGGGACGGAGAAGGCUAUGUUAGCCGGGCGACGGUUGUCCCGGUUUAAGCAUGUAGGCUG